rnacentral:rRNA from 1 species
GAUGAACGCUGGCGGCAUGCCUAAUACAUGCAAGUCGAACGAGAGGAAGGAAAGCUUGCUUUUCUGAAUCUAGUGGCGAACGGGUGAGUAACACGUAGGUAACCUGCCCAUGUGCCCGGGAUAACUUCUGGAAACGGAUGCUAAAACCGGAUAGGUAGCAGACAAGCAUUUGACUGCUAUUAAAGUGGCUAAGGCCAUGAACAUGGAUGGACCUGCGGUGCAUUAGCUAGUUGGUGAGGUAACGGCCCACCAAGGCGACGAUGCAUAGCCGGCCUGAGAGGGCGGACGGCCACAUUGGGACUGAGACACGGCCCAAACUCCUACGGGAGGCAGCAGUAGGGAAUUUUCGUCAAUGGGGGGAACCCUGAACGAGCAAUGCCGCGUGAGUGAAGAAGGUCUUCGGAUCGUAAAGCUCUGUUGUAAGAGAAAAACGACAUUCAUAGGGAAUGAUGAGUGAGUGAUGGUAUCU